rnacentral:rRNA from 1 species
CUAUACCCAAUUCGACGAUCAGAUUUGCACGUUAAAUCGCUGCGAACCUCCACCAGAGUUUCCCCUGGCUUCGCCCUACUCAGGCAUAGUUCACCAUCUUUCGGGUCCCAACAUGUAUGCUCACACUCAAACCUUUCUCCCGAAGGAUCAUGGUCGGUGGAUAGUGCACUACCUCAGUGAAUAAAUCCACCUUUACUUUAAUUCCGCGUGGGAGUUUUACACCCGAGCACUCGCACACAUGUUAGACUCCUUGGUCCAUGUUUCAAGACGGGUUGAUAAGAAGCAUUUCGUCAGAGUCUCUCAAUCACAUGACAGCAAAACUAACUCAAAAUCUUGAUUUAGAAGCUUUUCCCACAUAAUUAAGAAAGCCUGACUUGCAAGCAGGUCAACAAGUACUACCUAGCCGACACUGCUUCCCAUCGGUUCCAUUUCAGCAAUUUCAGGUACUAUUUAACUCUCUUUUCAAAGUUCUUUGCAUCUUUCCCUCACGGUACUUGUUCGCUAUCGGUCUCCCAUUUAUAUUUAGCUUUAGAUGGAAUUUACCACCCACUAAGAGCUGCAAUCCCAAACAACUCGACUCUUAGAAAGCCAGUUGUACACGACUUCGUUUCAGACAUGAACGGGGCUGUCACCCUCCACGGCGCUCUGUUCCAAAGACGUUAUCGGAAAACAUGCUGAACCGACCUCUCCAGAAUACAACGCCGAAGCUUUUCAGUCUGAGCUUGUCCCGCUUCACUCGCCGUUACU